AGAGUUUGAUCAUGGCUCAGGAUGAACGCUAGCGGCAGGCCUAACACAUGCAAGUCGAGGGGUAGGGGGUGCUUGCAUCCCCGAGACCGGCGCACGGGUGCGUAACGCGUAUGCAACCUGCCUUAUGCAGGGGGAUAGCCCAUGGAAACGUGGAUUAAUACCCCAUAGAAUGAGUUGUUCGCAUGGAUAACUGAUUAAAACUUCGGUGGCAUAAGAUGGGCAUGCGUAGGAUUAGCUAGUUGGUGAGGUAACGGCUCACCAAGGCAACGAUCCUUAGGGGUUCUGAGAGGAUUACCCCCCACACUGGUACUGAGACACGGACCAGACUCCUACGGGAGGCAGCAGUGAGGAAUAUUGGUCAAUGGACGAAAGUCUGAACCAGCCAUCCCGCGUGCAGGAUGACGGCCCUACGGGUUGUAAACUGCUUUUCUAUGCCAAGAAAGGUUGCUACGUGUAGCAAAUUGACGGUAGCAUAGGAAUAAGCAUCGGCUAACUCCGUGCCAGCAGCCGCGGUAAUACGGAGGAUGCAAGCGUUAUCCGGAUUCAUUGGGUUUAAAGGGUGCGCAGGCGGGCUUGUAAGUCAGUGGUGAAAUACUGCCGCUUAACGGUAGAACUGCCAUUGAUACUGCAAGUCUUGAAUAUGGUUGAGGUAGGCGGAAUGUGUUGUGUAGCGGUGAAAUGCAUAGAUAUGACACAGAACACCGAUUGCGAAGGCAGCUUACUAAGCCAUGAUUGACGCUGAGGCACGAAAGCGUGGGGAGCGAACAGGAUUAGAUACCCUAGUAGUCC
rnacentral:rRNA from 1 species